ensembl:rRNA 5S_rRNA 5S ribosomal RNA
GCUUACGGCCACACCUCCCUGAGCACGCCCGAUCUCGUCUGAUCUCGUCUGAUCUCGGAAGCUAAGCAGGGUCGGGCCCGGUUAGUACUUGGAUGGGAGACCGCCUGGGAAUACCAGGUGCUGUAAGCC